CCAACCAGGGGGAUGGCCUUAGUAGCGGCGAGUGAAGCGGCAGAGCUCAAUUUGAAAUCUGGUACUUUCAGUAUCCGAGUUGUAAUUUGAAGAAAGUUAUCUUGGAGUUGGCCCUUGUCUAUGUUCCUUGGAACAGGACGUCACAGAGGGUGAGAAUCCCGUGCGAUGGGGUGCCCAUUCUAUGUAAGAUACUUUCGACGAGUCGAGUUGUUUGGGGAUGCAGCUCUAAGUGGGUGGUAAAUUCCAUCUAAAGCUAAAUAUUGGCGAGAGACCGAUAGCGAACAAGUACAGUGAUGGAAAGAUGAAAAGAACUUUGAAAAGAGAGUGAAAAAGUACGUGAAAUUGUUGAAAGGGAAGGGUAUUUGAUCAGACUGAUAUUCAGUUAACACUGUUCCUUGUGGAUGGUGCUCUAGCUUUUUAUUGGGCCAGCAUCAGUUUAGGUGGCAGGAUAAGAACUGUUGAACGUGGCUCUUCGGAGUGUUAUAGCUUCAGUUGAUACUGCCUAUCUAGACUGAGGUCUGCGGCUUUGCCUAGGAUGCUGGCGUAAUGGUCUAAUACCGCCCGUCUGAAAAACCCGGGACC
rnacentral:rRNA from 1 species